ACAAUUGUUUACUGUGCUCUUCCCUGGUGAAGAUUACUUCUCCUCACCCUGCUCCCUUUGGCUGCAUAUAGUUCUUUCUGAAGGAUGUAAUCCUUAGCAAUCUAUUGUCACUUGUUCAUACACCCACCGAGAAGUGCAGCCUUUAUGUCUCAUCAAGGAAUCAGGGCAGGACCAGUCAUCAUCUCUUGGGAGAUUCAGCAGAAUUGUCAGCAAGGAAACUCAGAUCUAUGUCUCCAUUAAGUCCACCUUGGAACUUCUGAGUAUGGAUACAAGCAACCAAUAUAGCUCAAGUAGUGUCAGAUUUACCUGUCGAAUGUGCUUCAGCUGGUGGAAUGCCUGGGGGUACACUGAAAUGGAACCAACAAGAUUCCUGAGCCGACCAUGCAAGAUGUGACCAGCUUCAGGGAUGUCGGAGUCACACCACACAAGAAUAUGUUAUUUCAACCUAGGCUCUGAAAUGAGCUAAGAAGGACAAAUCUCUGGCCCGGAGUCCAACAGCCAGGCUCCGCGUAUCCUAGAUUGGGAGAAGCACCGUUGACCUAAUGACUGCCAAUCAUCACUUGAAGAAAGUCUCUGAGUUGAAAGCAGUAGGUAUACAAGCCCAUGUGGGCCACAGCAUACAUGUGGAGGUCGGAAGACAAACUUGUGGGAAUCAGUUCUCUCCUUCUACAAGUGAACAUCACCAAAAAUCUCUUCCAGAAGAAUGAGCACAGUCAGACACAAAGCUAAUUUCUGUGAGCUCCACGCACUUGAAGUUAAUGCCCUCUCUGACUUCUCCACAUUCCCAAGUCUUCCUUCUGGAUUGGAGUGCAGCUCCAGCAGAACCAGCAGUCUGGAGUCCUUCUCCGCUCUGUGAAAGAGAUGUCUGCUCGUCUCUGGAAGGUUGUCAUGGCAUCUUCAGUUAUGACCGUCCAACGUUCAUAGAAGUGGAGGCAACGCUGAAGGCAACUUUUUCAGAAAUGAAUGAUACUGGAAGUUUUUUUGCUUUACCACUCAUUCCAAGAAUUGAUAAGCUCUGUCAUUAGUGCCAAGAGAACUAAGGCUUUCAUUUAAUCACAAUCAGUUUUGCCUUGUGAGCCAGAGUUUUCUUUUUUUUUGUACAGAAAAUAUUAUUGAAGAAUGAACAUACACACUUCAAAGACGUAAAGAUCACUUUUGCUGUUUCUUUCUAUUUCCAUUUUACAAAAUAGUCUGACAUUAACUUCAACGAUGCAUCAAAUGGUGGAUACAUUUGGGAACACUUUUGCACACCCGAGAUGCCUGACAUUUGUGUAUACGUGUAAAAUCCAAGUCAGGAUUAAAAGCAGGUAUAUAAUUAAGGAAUGAUUUGCUGAGUGUGAUUGAUUCGGUGUUUGUCUCUGCGACGGCACUGAGCAUGAGAAAACAAGACAGGCUGAAAGCUAUGGAUUUCGAGGCUGGUAAAGAGGAUUCACUCUAUGACAACAAAGAGGCAACAGUGAAUCAUGUCACCUGGGGUCAUGGGAUACCGUAGAAGGUGAGAAGGCUCAAGAGAGAUGAGGAGAAGCUCAGGCUGACCAAGUGGAGAUUCAAGUAGGUUUUUAUCUUCUCAUAGUGUUCCAAGUGAAGAACAUUUACCUCUCCCAGUUCAGUGUUGAUAGUUUUUAAUUUUUUAUAAUGAUCUCUUUCGAUUCCUAUGACA